CCUACGGGAGGCAGCAGUGGGGAAUAUUGCACAAUGGGCGAAAGCCUGAUGCAGCAACGCCGCGUGAAGGAAGAAGGGUUUCGGCUCGUAAACUUCUAUCAACAGGGACGAAAGAAAUGACGGUAACCGAAUAAGAAGCCCCGGCGAACUACGUGCCAGCAGCUGCAGUAUUACGUAGGGGGGAAGCGUUAUUCGGAAUUACUGGGGGUAAAGGGUGAGUAGGCGGCAUGGUAAGCAAGAUGUGACAGCCUUGGGCUUAACCCGAGGAUUGCAUUUGGAACUGUCAAGCUGGAGUACAGGAGAGGAAAGCGGAAUUCCUGGUGUAGCGGUGAAAUGCGUAGAUAUUAGGAAGAACACCAGUGGCGAAGGCGGCUUUCUGGACUGAAACUGACGCUGAGGCACGAAAGCGUGGGGAGCGAACAGGAUUAGAUACCCCAGUAGUC
rnacentral:rRNA from 1 species